GGAAGAUGUAACGGGGCUAAACCAUGCACCGAAGCUGCGGCAGCGACACUAUGUGUUGUUGGGUAGGGGAGCGUUCUGUAAGCCUGCGAAGGUGUGCUGUGAGGCAUGCUGGAGGUAUCAGAAGUGCGAAUGCUGACAUAAGUAACGAUAAAGCGGGUGAAAAGCCCGCUCGCCGGAAGACCAAGGGUUCCUGUCCAACG
rnacentral:rRNA from 1 species